UUCUAUAAUUUUUAUUUUUAAUUGUAUUAAAUUUAUAUUUUUUUUAGUAUUUAUUAAAAAUAAUAAUAUAAAGUUAUUGAAAAAUAUUUUUAUUAAAAUUUUAGUAUAUUUACAUACUACCUUUUGUAUCAGGGUUGGUUUAAUAAAUUUUAUUUAUAUAAUAUUCCCGAAAUAAAGAUAUUUAUAUUAAUUUUUUUUUAUUGUUUCAUAAAUAUUUAUAAAUUUAAUAUAGUAGAAAAAUUCUAUCCGCUCUUUUUUAUAUCUGGUUAUUUAGGAAUUCAAUUUAAUUGAAGAUUAAGGCUAUGUUUAUUAUUUAUGAAAUUUUAAUCUUAUAAAAUUUGGGAUAAUCUAUUUUUUGAUUUAAAAUUUAAUUAUUUUUAUAUUUAUUUAUUUUAAAAUCUUUUAUUAAGUUCUUAAUAGAUUUAUAUUAAUUUUUUUAAUUUUAUUUAAUUUAUAUUUUUACUAAAUUUACAUAACAAGCUUAUUUUUUUGUUUAAUAAUGAUUAAAUUAGUAUAAUUUAUAAUUAAAAUAUAAAUAACUCGACAAAAAUAAUCUUCAACUGUUUAUCAAAAACAUUUUUUUUAGGUUAAAUUAAAAGUAAAUUCUGCCCUAUGAUUCUUUAAUUAAAUGGCUGCAGUAUUUUGACUGUGCAAAGGUAGCAUAAUCAUUAGUCAUUUAAUUGUUGACUUGUAUGAAUGGAUAAAUGAGGGAUUAAUUUUUUUAAUUUUAUUAUUAAAAUUUUAUUUUUAAGUAAAAAAGCUUUAAUUAAUUUUUUGGGACGAUAAGACCCUAUAGAACUUUAUUAUAUAUUUUUUAUUAAUUACUUUUAGUUUUUCUUGUAUUAAUAGAUUUCAUAUUUUUUUGUUGGGGUGACAAAUAAAUUUUUAACUUUAUUUUAUUAAAUCAUUAAUUUUUGAUUAUUUUGAUCCAUAAUUUAGAUUAAAAGAUUAAGUUACCUUAGGGAUAACAGCGUAAUUUUAAUGGGGAGUUCAUAUUUAUAUUAAAGUUUGCGACCUCGAUGUUGAAUUAAGAUAAGUUUGAGGGGUAGGUUUUUCAUUUCUAAGUCUGUUCGACUUUUAAAUUCUUACAUGAUUUGAGUUCAAACCGGUGUAAGCCAGGUUGGUUUCUAUCUUAAAAUUAUUUUUGUUAUUUAGUACGAAAGGACCAAUAAAAACAAUGUUUAUUUGUAAUUGAUGAAUUUUAUU
rnacentral:rRNA from 1 species